rnacentral:piRNA from 1 species
UGUUAACAAUGACAACGGCGCCAAGGCUU